AUCUAAAGAUUUGUCCUCUGCCUCUACCCUCUCUACAGAUCUUUAUAAAUCUAGCUUAGAUCUUAGUCCCCGGGUGGGUAGAAUGGCUCGGACACCAGUACGAGGAAAAAAGAUAAAAAGUAUAUCAGAACUUAUCAAAGAUGCUGAGGAGCGAAAAGAAAAGAUAAAUGAGGCCGGUGGAAGUAUGCCGGAUGAAGUGAAAGAAAUGAUGGGUUUGCUACCAGGAAGAUCAUCCAAG